rnacentral:rRNA from 1 species
GACGAACGCUGGCGGCGUGCCUAAUACAUGCAAGUCGAACGGUUCUUUCCUCCCGAGUUCUUGCUCGCUAGUGGAAGGAGGAGGCGCGGGCGGGUAAGUAACACGUGGGUAACCUACCCAUCAGAGGGGGAUAACACUUGGAAACAGGAGCUAAUACCGCUUACCCGUUUAUGCCUCAUGGCAUGAGAGUGGAAUUCUCGUUCGGGGGUCGCGGAGGGUUUGAUCAGCGGUGCGUUAGCGAGAUGGUGAGGUAACGGCUCACCAAGUCAACGAUGCGUAGCCGACCUGAGAGGGUAGUCAGCCCCACUGGAACUGAGCCACGGCACAGACUACUACGGGACGGAGCAGAGGGGAAUCUUCGGCAAGGGACGGAAGUCUGACCGGACACAGCCGCGUGAGUGAAGAAAGUUUUGGGAUAGUAAUACUCUGUUGUUAGAGAAGAACAAGAACGUGAGUAACUGAACGUCCCCUGACGGUACCUAAUGAGAAAGCACCGGCUAACUCCGUG